GAUGAACGCUGGCGGCGUGCUUAACACAUGCAAGUCGAACGAAGCAAUUUAGCGGAAGUUUUCGGAUGGAAGCUAAAUUGACUGAGUGGCGGACGGGUGAGUAACGCGUGGGUAACCUGCCUCACACUGGGGGACAACAGUUAGAAAUGACUGCUAAUACCGCAUAAGCGCACAGGGCCGCAUGGUCCUGUGUGAAAAACUCCGGUGGUGUGAGAUGGACCCGCGUUUGAUUAGCUAGUUGGUGGGGUAACGGCCUACCAAGGCGACGAUCAAUAGCCGACCUGAGAGGGUGACCGGCCACAUUGGGACUGAGACACGGCCCAAACUCCUACGGGAGGCAGCAGUGGGGAAUAUUGCACAAUGGGGGAAACCCUGAUGCAGCGACGCCGCGUGAGUGAAGAAGUAUUUCGGUAUGUAAAGCUCUAUCAGCAGGGAAGAAAAUGACGGUACCUGACUAAGAAGCCCCGGCUAACUACGUGCCAGCAGCCGCGGUAA
rnacentral:rRNA from 1 species